rnacentral:rRNA from 1 species
UUGGAGGGCAAGUCUGGUGCCAGCAGCCGCGGUAAUUCCAGCUCCAAUAGCGUAUAUUAAAGUUGUUGCAGUUAAAAAGCUCGUAGUUGAAUUUCGGGGUCAGUAGGUCGGUCGUGCCACUGGUAUGAACUGGUUUUACUGAUUCCUCCCUCUUGAAGAACUGUAAUGCCAUUAAUUUGGUGUUGCAGGGAAUCAGGACUGUUACUUUGAAAAAAUUAGAGUGUUUAAAGCAGGCUUUAGCUUGAAUACAUUAGCAUGGAAUAAUGAAAUAGGACGUUUGAUCCUAUUUUGUUGGUUUCUAGGAUUGACGUAAUGAUUAAUAGGGAUAGUUGGGGGCAUUAGUAUUCAAUUGUCAGAGGUGAAAUUCUUGGAUUUAUUGAAGACUAACUACUGCGAAAGCAUUUGCCAAGGAUGUUUUCAUUAAUCAAGAACGAAAGUUAGGGGAUCGAAGACGAUCAGAUACCGUCGUAGUCCUAACCAUAAACUAUGCCGACUAGGGAUCGGAUGAUGUUAAUUUUUUAAUGACUCGUUCGGCGCCUUACGGGAAAC